rnacentral:rRNA from 1 species
UACGGGGGGAGCAAGCGUUGUUCGGAUUUACUGGGCGUAAAGGGCGCGUAGGCGGUCAGCACAAGUCAGUUGUGAAAUCUCCGGGCUUAACUCGGAAAGGUCAACUGAUACUGUGCGACUAGAGUGCAGAAGGGGCAACUGGAAUUCUCGGGUGUAGCGGUGAAAUGCGUAGAUAUCGAGAGGAACACCUGCGGCGAAGGCGGGUCUCUGGACAGUUCCUGACGCUGAGGCACGAAGGCCAGGGGAGCAAACGGG